rnacentral:misc_RNA from 1 species
AAGGAUCAUUACUGAGUGGCUGGAGCUCCCCGCUUGCGGGGGGCCGGUUACCCGACCUUUUGUCAUGUGGGCCGCGCGUCCGGACCUCUCGGGGGCCGGCGCCGGCAUCUUCAGGUUCGGCGGAAGCGGUGGGGCGUCUCCUGGCGCCCUGCCCGCCGCCGGUCGUAUUCUCCAACUCUUGUUGUGUAACGGAUGAAGUCUGACGUGAAAACAAACAAAAAAAAAGCAAAACUUUCAACAACGGAUCUCUUGGCUCUGGCAACGAUGAAGAACGCAGCGAAACGCGAAAGGUAAUGCGAAUUGCAGAAUCAGUGAGUCAUCGAAUUUUUGAACGCACAUUGCGCCUCUCGGUAUUCCGGGAGGCACGCCUGUUCGAGCGCCAUUACAAACUCCAAGCCCCGGCUUGAUGUUGGGCGACGUCCUGUAAGAGGGGCGCGCCUGGAACGUGUGGGCGGCGGAGGCCAGACCGCGAGCGUAGCAAGACUUCGGUCAUCGCUCGUACGGCUCUGGCAGACGACCAGCCGGUUACGACGUGGUCGGGGAGCGCGAGCCCCCCGUCGACGACGACAGCAACCAAAACGUUUGGCCUCGGAUCAGGCGGGGAUACCCGCUGAACUUAA